UGGGGAAUAUUGCGCAAUGGGGGGAACCCUGACGCAGCCAUGCCGCGUGAAUGAAGAAGGCCUUCGGGUCGUAAAGUUCUUUCGGUAUUGAGGAAGGUUGAUGUGUUAAUAGCACAUCAAAUUGACGUUAAAUACAGAAGAAGCACCGGCUAACUCCGUGCCAGCAGCCGCGGUAAUACGGAGGGUGCGAGCGUUAAUCGGAAUAACUGGGCGUAAAGGGCACGCAGGCGGUUAUUUAAGUGAGGUGUGAAAGCCCUGGGCUUAACCUAGGAAUUGCAUUUCAGACUGGGUAACUAGAGUACUUUAGGGAGGGGUAGAAUUCCACGUGUAGCGGUGAAAUGCGUAGAGAUGUGGAGGAAUACCGAAGGCGAAGGCAGCCCCUUGGGAAUGUACUGACGCUCAUGUGCGAAAGCGUGGGGAGCAAACAGGAUUAGAUACCCUGGUAGUCCACGCUGUAAACGCUGUCGAUUUGGGGGUUGGGGUUUAACUCUGGCGCCCGUAGCUAACGUGAUAAAUCGACCGCCUGGGGAGUACGGCCGCAAGGUUA
rnacentral:rRNA from 1 species